rnacentral:rRNA from 1 species
AUUGAACGCUGGCGGCAUGCCUUACACAUGCAAGUCGAACGGUAACGGGCCUUCGGGUGCCGACGAGUGGCGAACGGGUGAGUAAUGCAUCGGAACGUACCUUUCAGUGGGGGAUAACGUAGCGAAAGUUACGCUAAUACCGCAUAUUCUGUGCGCAGGAAAGCAGGGGAUCGCAAGACCUUGCGCUGAUUGAGCGGCCGAUGUCAGAUUAGCUAGUUGGUGAGGUAAAGGCUCACCAAGGCGACGAUCUGUAGCGGGUCUGAGAGGAUGAUCCGCCACACUGGAACUGAGACACGGUCCAGACCCCUACGGGAGGCAGCAGUGGGGAAUUUUGGACAAUGGGGGCAACCCUGAUCCAGCCAUGCCGCGUGAGUGAAGAAGGCCUUCGGGUUGUAAAGCUCUUUCGGCCGGGAAGAAAUCGCAUGGGUUAAUACCCUGUGCGGAUGACGGUACCGGCAUAAGAAGCACCGGCUAACUACGUGCCAGCAGCCGCAGUAAUAC